GGCCGUACCAUGCUCGUACCGGUUCUCGGUAGAUCACCGAAGUCAAGCAUCAUUGGGCGCGGUCAGUACUUGGGUGGGUGACCACCUGGGAACACCGCGUGCCGUU
rnacentral:rRNA from 1 species